rnacentral:lncRNA from 1 species
GAUAUUGUUAAUAGGAAUGGAUGAUGUAUUUGUAUCAGACUUCUCUUUUUUAGUGUUCUAGCACUCCUUGUGCUUAGAUCACUUUUAAUAAAAUCUUUUGCUGUUCCAAAAAAAAUAGAUAUAUCAGUCAAAUAUCCAGUCAACAAAACAGCGUGACAUCAUGUAGGUUACUAAAAAACAACAAUAAAAAACAAACCUUAUACCACAAUUUCGAAUUGCAACAUAGAUCAAUCAGUUUGUUGCGAACCGAAAAUUUCGCAACUUAUAAAAUAUUGAAGAAAAGGAUUAAAAAGCAGGAAUAAUGAAAACAGUGUAUUAUUAUAUAAAAAUGAAAGAUAAAUGCAAGAGGAUGAAUAUCCUAAUGCCCACAGAGCAAAGCUCCUUCAAAGAAAGAGAAGACUCUUUCCUUGCCUAACCAUAAUGGUCCUAAUAAUAAUCUUCCAUAAUGCCUCACACUCCCCUUACCUCACUAUAUAUAUUACUAAGAGGCAUAACAAACUUGCCAACUCAGCACCAUAUCUCACUCACUAAUUAUUCAUAAAAUCUCAUUAUAUACUCUUUAUUACAAGCCAACUCAGCUCCCUAUCUCACUCACUAAUUACUCAUAAAAUCUCAUUAUACUCUUUAUUACAAACCAACUCAGCUCCUUAUCUCACUCACUAAUCACUCAUACUUAGUCUCUAUCAAUACCCACUCCUUCAAACAACCUUGUCCUCAAGGUUGAAAUUUUACAUCCAUCCAACUUGCCUCUAUCAAAUAGAAGGUUGAACCAUCCAUGAAAAAUAAGUAAGUCACUCAAACAGUAGUCAUUAGUUGUAGUUGCAAUUAGAAUAUUGAGUUCUUCUGGAUCCCAUUGUAUGAAUGCAUGUCUAUGCAUAAUUCCCAAGGCAAACCCAACCUUGAUUCCUUUCAAAUUCCAAGAUUGCAUAAGCAUUUCAA